AAACAGGCCUUCCCCAACUCUAUUACACGCCUUUCAUUGAGCAGGCUUCCUCCACAAAAUUAAACUCGCCCAAAUUGCAAACUUUCAGGGAGGAAAAUGAACCAUAAUCGAAACUGAAACCCUAAAUCUAAACCCUGAGCUCGAAAUCAAGGUCCUUCACGCCGUUGCUAAUUACUCAAACAGCCUACGCAAGCAUGAAGAAGCAGCUCCCAUUCCGUUUCUGUAGUUCUCGCAAUGGACGGACAACGUGAAGGUAAAUCUCAAGCUUAUGGGUUUUAAAAAUUUGACACUUAUGGGUUUUAAAAUUUUGGGCUUUGUAGUUGCUAUUCAUCUGAUACUUUUGGUUUUUGCAGCUGCUAAUUUAGGUUUUGCAGUUGCUAUUCCCGUAUCUGAAGAUUUUGAAGUUGCUAUUCAUGACAUUUUGGGUUUUACAAAUCUAAAAAAUAUUUAUUUACAUGGUUUCUUUUGGAAAUUGUCAUUGUACUCUUCCUCCCAACACUUGGAUUAAUUAGCAGAAUCCUGUGUCUCAUUUGAAUGACCUUUGUAACAUGAUUUAAUUUUUCAAUGGAUUUAGUUUGAUUCUGCUUGAGUUCUCGACUUGGAUACGAGGUUGAUCGGUUGAGUAGGGUUGAAUCAUUUGAUAGCUAAUUAAUCCCAACAUCUAUACUAUAGUAGCAAAUAUAUAUAUUUUAAAGUUUUGCCACAGUUUGUUGUUCUCCACUUGACGGUUUGCAUCUACUCUUGUUAAUGUGGGUUAAUUAUAUGACAGAUUGUGGAGUGAAUAGCCCAAAUGGUCACUAAACUUUGCACCAGGUCCGCAAAAGGUCACUGAACUUUCAAAAUUGUCUAACUCAUCACAGAACUUUGCGAAAAGUCCAUCAAAGGUCACUGAACUUUCAAAAUCGCCUCACUUAUCACUAAACUUUGCAUUUUGUAAUCUCAUUAGUCAUUCAGCUAACGGUCCAUCCAAAAACUAACCGAAUACUCACGUGGCCGGCUGAUGUGGAUGCCAAGUCAAACAAAAGAAGUAC
rnacentral:lncRNA from 1 species